rnacentral:rRNA from 1 species
AUUGAACGCUGGCGGCAGGCCUAACACAUGCAAGUCGAACGGUAACAGGAAGAAGCUUGCUUCUUUGCUGACGAGUGGCGGACGGGUGAGUAAUGUCUGGGAAACUGCCUGAUGGAGGGGGAUAACUACUGGAAACGGUAGCUAAUACCGCAUAACGUCGCAAGACCAAAAAGGGGGACCUUCGGGCCUCUUGCCAUCGGAUGUGCCCAGAUGGGAUUAGCUAGUAGGUGGGGUAACGGCUCACCUAGGCGACGAUCCCUAGCUGGUCUGAGAGGAUGACCCGCCACACUGGAACUGAGACACGGUCCAGACUCCUACGGGAGGCAGCAGUGGGAAUAUUGCACAAUGGGCGCAAGCCUGAUGCAGCCAUGCCGCGUGUAUGAAGAAGGCCUUCGGGUUGUAAAGUACUUUCAGCGGGGAGGAAGGGAGUAAAGUUAAUACCUUUGCUCAUUGACGUUACCCGCAGAAGAAGCACCGGCUAACUCCGUG